GACGAACCGAGCGAACGUUAUUCGGAAUCACUGGGCUUAAAGGGUGCGUAGGCGGGCACGCGAGUCAGGGGUGAAAUCCCACGGCCCAACCGUGGAAGUGCCUCUGAUACCGCGAGCCUCGAGGGGAUAGGGGCGUGCGGAACUUCCGGUGGAGCGGUGAAAUGCGUAGAUAUCGGAAGGAACACCGGUGGCGAAAGCGGCGCGCUGGAUCCCUACUGACGCUGAGGCACGAAAGCCAGGGGAGCAAACGGG
rnacentral:rRNA from 1 species